AUGCAGUUUAGCUGAAGUCAAGGAGGCGCGUGCCUGGGGGUGGGGAUAGGGGGAGGAGCAGUUCAUUCUCCAACUCUUAGCUUCCUGGGGUCGCUGUUGAUUCUGAGAGCUAGGAGGCGGGGCUUGGCAUUACUGCGCACCCCCUAGGGGAGGGGAGGGAAGGGGUCACCUGGGGCCGAGGCUUUUGCGGCUGUCGUAGCCGGGGCGGGGUCACCCUAAAGGGGGCCUGGUCUUCCGCCUGGUUCUCCUUCCCUCGCAGUGCUCCUGUGAGCGCCCACUCGGUCUUCUUUUCCCCGCCUAAUUUCUCCCUCCUAACGUUGGAGGGAGCCUGAGCCCGCCUGCGCGGCAGGGAGAAGGCCACUUCCCUUCAUCUUCCCUGUUCCUAGGCCUGCGGGGGUGGCUGUGUAAGUCACUCUCCGAUGGUAUCAGGGAGGUAGGGUUUGAGCACGGGCCACCGGCUUCUUCCCUCCGGCCCUAACCCGGGAGUCCAGAGAUUUGGGCUCCGGCCCCCACUGAAGCAGUGGCUGUAGGAUCCGCUCAAGUCCUUCCUAGUCUCUGGGCCUCAGUUUCCUCUCGAAACGAGAAGAAUGGAGUAAAUGGCAGACCCUUCCAGCUCUGACAUUCAUGGGCCGGAGACGGAGGAUUUCAAAGCCAAAGGCUUUGGGACCGACAGCAAUAGAUGAAGCGCUUUUCUUGAUGGGCUUUCCCUGGAUGUUUGCUUUCUUUGACAAUGAAGGGUGGUAGGUAGAGGAGGUGGGACUGAUGGGGGCGGGGAGAGGCUGGGGCGUUGUAGAUCAAGGAGGCCGAACUUGUCUUCCCCGGAAAUGAGUCAGGCCUGGUGUCCUGCUGGCUGCUCCACCUUCCCUGGCGUCUACGUCUGAAACACAAACAAAGGCCGGCGUGGGGCCGCGCGACGCUCUUCCCGCACCCUGGGGAUCCGUUCCAGGCCUCGGCCCUCUAGACCUCAAAGCUCCGGCCCAGGAAGUUUCUACCAGGUAGAAAGAGGACGAGAUACCGCAGGAAGGCACUAAUUGCAUGCGCCUGGUGGCUGGGGAGACGGUGACAGAGUCAUAGAUAUCCAGUGACAAGACAAAAGUCAAGAUGACUAGCUAUGGCCCAGGAUGCAGUGGAUGACCUUGGCAUCUGAUGUCUGACCAAGCUCUGGGUGCUCCACAGGACCUGCUUCAGACACCUUCAUGGCCUUUGAAUCAGAUUGUUCUCAUCUACCCAUUUCACUAGGCAAAGUCUUCAUAUGCUUGAAGUAGACACUCCCCUGACUCACUGAUAGUCUGAGGCUUGUCGAUUCCUCUCAACCUGGUUUAGCCCAUCUUCAGUGAUGGUCUACUGUGGUGUGGCCUUUGGGUAUGCUACAGAUUUUUGGAGCUACAGGUCAGGGUUGGGUGACACAUGAAAAUCAUAGGUAGGUACUCAGCCCUGAAAAGGGCUUGACAAGCCCUCAUACCAGAGGUGCUAUUCCUCCCUCACCACCCCAUACAUCCUUCACAUAAUAUUAAUGUGAAUUGAAAGAAGGUAAAGAAAGGAAGAGGUGGCAUAAAACAAUAGAAAGAGGUGGGGCUCUGAAGAGGAUCUGAGUGUUAAUACUGUUUCAGGCAUUUAUCAUGAUAUGAUUAUAGCCCAUCGAGAAAUUCUAUGCUAUGGCCAUACACUUUGACUUUGUUAUGCCACAGUUCUUUGAAGAGUAUUUGAACUAAAAGAAGAAAUUGCCAUUUUUCUGAAUAAUUCUUGUAAAGAUGAAGUGAGUUCAUUUUAUGAUAAGAAUCUCCUCCUAAAAUAUUUAUAUCUUGUGUAUAUUUUUAAAACUGACUAAACAAAAUAAAUCAAUGCAAGAUCCUCAACAUUUACACUCUAAAACAGAAAGAUAAAGUUAUUGCAUUAAUGUAAAAGUUAGAGCUAUGUAUAAUACAUUUAUAAAAAUAUUUUUGAUAUAUUUCCCAAUUUGAAAUAUAAUUACCCUGCAAAUGAAAUAGAAGAAAGUUAAGAACUGCUUUUUAAUUACCUGACUACUCUAUAGAAGCAAUUCUCACUCCUCUAAGGAAAUAGAUAUUUCUAAAAUGAAUGGACAAGAAAACAAUUUGUUUUGGACAAACAUGAUAUAUUUGGUUUUAUUCUAUCUGAACAAGAAUGGUUAAUAGAUACAUGAUAAUAUAUUGGCAAUCACUUAAACACUUACGCUUUGGCUGUGGGUGAAUAAACAUUGCUUUUCUUUACCACAGUUUUACAAAUUUUGCUGAAAUUAUGGCCUAUUUGUAUGAAAUGGGGUUUUCUGUUGUAGCUGCUAUAAAGAUAAAAUAUUUGACUUCAAUGUUUGAAGAGUUAGGAGCAGCAGUAUCAUCAGUGAGAGCACAUUUUUGAGAAAUUUUACAUCUAAAAGAAGCCUUCACAUUACAUUAAUAGUAUUAUGGUUAUCAUUUUAUAUAUUAAAAUGGGAAAAUUGUUAAGAAUGUUAUCAAUAAAUAGAUGUUGGUUUUUAUUGUAUUUAGGUGUUAUAAAAUUGAAAUAAAUUCCAAUUUUACUUGAAUAAAAUAUUAUCUAAGAAAA